AGGGGAAGGAGAGACAGAGAGGGAGGCUUGGGUUCUAGAAAGCAAAAUCUGGGAGAGAGAGCUCGAGAGAGAGCUAGCGAGAGAAAGAGAGCCAGAGAGAGAGAGAGUGAGCUGGAGAGAGAAAUUUCCAGAGGAAGUGGGCGAGCUUGAGGGCGAGGGUGAGCUCGGAAAAGGGGACUGGUCUUCUUCCUCCUCGGGGCUGGACGGAACGGGGCGGAGAGACCGAGAGGGUAAGAGUCCAGGCGAGGGGGAGAGCUUCAGCCGUGCCCGAGCCCCGCUGACGACCUCUUCCGGUCGACGCCAUCGCGCCGAACUGGGUAAGUCUCUUGGUGAGCGCUCUGCUUCGGGUACGCCAGGCCGGAGUUCGCGGCCGUUCGGUUCACACGAACUCUGGCCCCGCCGGACCCCCGUUAACCUUGUCAUGCGUUCUAGUAUGCUUUUUGUGUGUUCUAGUAUGCCUUUUAGGAGUCUCGACCUGGGCUCGAGUCGCGGACGAGUCGGAAGUCCCUUGUUUAUCUAGUGUACACCAACUGUUCGAUGAAUUGCUCCACUGGAGAGCCAAACUCGAGUCUCCGAACCGAAGCCCCGAUCUUUAAUAUCUGUGUGACCUGUUGCCCCGACACCGUCGCCGUUGGUGUUUUUCUUGAUUUUUGGUGGCAUAUCUCGUGUUGCUCGAGUGGGCCGUCGCGGGCUUGCUCCUCACCAGAGUUGAUCCGACGAAACUAGAAACAGCCGGCCAACUAGUGGCCGGCGGUGACCAGCGUCAGUGGGACCGAACGACCGGCGCCGGAUGGUGGUUUGGCGGCCCCCCAAAACGCCGGUAAGGGCUCGCCGUGGUGUUGGUUUUGGUUCGGUGAAGGUGGUGCAGAAGGAGGAAGAAGCUUCAGGUAAGGAGGCGUAGAGGAGAAGAACACCAGAGGAGAAAAAGAGUAAAGGAAAGAGAAAAAAAAAAUUACGUUUUAAUCGAUCGGGUAUGGUCGGGGACGAGCGGCUUCAGGACCGUUCAUCUCUGUUCAUCCCCGAGCGUUCAUCCGUGAGUGAGGGACCAAGAUGAGGAGUUGGGCCCGAUUAGGUUUUGAUCGUUUUAGGGCUAUUUGUGAUACUUGGGCUUGAAAGGUUAUUUUGGGGACGUUUGGGCUUCACUUAGUUUAGGAUGGGCUAGCUGAAAUAGAGAAUAGAGUGGGCUUCUUUUUUCUUAAAAAAACUUUCGUGGGCCUUUUUGGUUAAUUCCGAGUGGGCCUUAGAGAUGGUCCGUUUUUAGCCCAACCCGGACUGAUAGGGACCGGGCCGGUUUGGUCGGACCCGGUCAAGAGACCCGGUCCGAAUUCUCUUUUAUAAUAUUAAAAUUCGUUAAAAAAAUUAUUAAUUGAAAAAAUCAUUAAAUUAAAAAAGAGAUUAAAAAUGCUUUAAAAACUUAAAAUUUUUAAAAUAAAUUAAAAUUUAAAAUUAAAAAUAAUUUCGAAAAUUAAAAAAUGUAGGGUUUGGUUGGAAAUUGUUAUGUCUUGUAUUCUUAGUGUAAUUAAGGCUUUUAUUUGCUCGUUUAUUGAUUAUAUCGCAUGUUUAAUUUGCAUAUUUAAUUAGGAUCUUGGCUAUUAAUUGUUAUUUUAAUGAUUGCGCACCCGCAUGAUCAUCUCACAUGUUAGUGGAUGAUAUAAAAUUAAUCCAAACUGCUUAACAAAAAUUAUUUCUUUUAAAAUGAAUAAGAUUAGGUAUCGAAAAGGUACUAAUUGGUCAAUUAGUGUAAUCAAGUCCCCAACCCUAGAUUUUCUAGUUUCGUAGGAAGCGAGGAAUACUCUCAUGCCUCGCUUGAUUUCUAGCCGACCCCAAUAGGUUAGUGGUGACUCAUUUUUGCAAAAUUUUUAAAAAUACCCCAACGUGAGUAUGGGCUUGGGAGAGCCCACGCUUAAUCAUAGGCCCCAAGCCCAUCUUUUAGGGAUGGCAAUGAAUGGGUGAAGCAAGGAAGGCUCUGACUUUGAAGCUCAGGCUCAGGCAAUAAAGAGAAAGAGGCGAGAAAGAAAGUCAUGACUGUUUGGUCUGUCCAUUCCUCGUAGCAAGACCCUAUGAUGACUCACUUGAGGUUGAACCUGAUCUGAGAUCUCUCCCAUCUUUCGAAACCAAGUAAUGAAGCCAACUCUAACCUUCGAUUGAUAGAUUAAGAGCCCCGCCAAACCAAUGAAAGCCAUGAUCCAUGGGACACGCAAGUCCACUAACAAAGGCAUAAGAGGGGGGGGGGGGACUUGGGGUGGAGAAGAGGAGAAGAGGAGAUUAAGGAUAGUCACUCCACUCCAUAGGUAGUGGUAGCCCAACCAACUUCUUUCGCACCGCUUUAACAGCCCAAGAGAGAGCUCAGCGAGCGGGGACCCUGCCCCUACACCUGUUCCCUCCCUCCAAGGGGGUAGGUCGCGAUAGUAAUGUGAUUCAUAUGGAAAUCAGAUUAUGUACUAGGUUUUUCAUUCAGAGUUUAUAAAAAACUUCUAGCAUUCGGUUGGGUCUUACCGUGUUUAGAGAAUUCCUUAAUUUCCAAUAGGAUAUGGCUUAGUUUUUAAUUAUGUAUCUAAUGCCUUCAAGUGGCCCAUAUACUAUUUGCUUCUAGAUACUUGGUUUAAGUCAUAAUGUCUACUUUGUAUUAUGAUACAGGGGCAUGUAUCAGGACUUAUCCAUUUGCAUUAUUUGAGAUUGAUCCAUCUUGACUUAAAGCCUUAAAAUGUCUUGAUUAAUGAGAAUAGAUCGUUAGUUGCUCAGCUAUCUGCCAUGGGCAUUACUAAAUGCCUUCCUGAAUAUAAAUCUUCUCUAGGAACUCCAGC
rnacentral:lncRNA from 1 species